AGUGAACGCUGGCGGUAGGCCUAACACAUGCAAGUCGAACGGCAGCACAGUAAGAGCUUGCUCUUACGGGUGGCGAGUGGCGGACGGGUGAGGAAUACAUCGGAAUCUACUUUUUCGCGGGGGAUAACGUAGGGAAACUUACGCUAAUACCGCAUACGACCUACGGGUGAAAGCAGGGGAUCUUCGGCCCUUGCGCGAUUGAAUGAGCCGAUGUCGGAUUAGCUAGUUGGCGGGGUAAAGGCCCACCAAGGCGACGAUCCGUAGCUGGUCUGAGAGGAUGAUCAGCCACACUGGAACUGAGACACGGUCCAGACUCCUACGGGAGGCAGCAGUGGGGAAUAUUGGACAAUGGGCGCAAGCCUGAUCCAGCCAUACCGCGUGGGUGAAGAAGGCCUUCGGGUUGUAAAGCCCUUUUGUUGGGAAAGAAAAGCAGCAGGUUAAUACCCCGCUGUUCUGACGGUACCCAAAGAAUAAGCACCGGCUAACUUCGUG
rnacentral:rRNA from 1 species